CCCGCUCGGCUGCACAGGACAGGAAUUUCAGGGUGUUUGACGCACUCAGGAAGGUCUGACUAUUUGAUUAGUAGGUGGCUUCUAGAUGGUCAGAGGGCGAACCAGGCCUUCAGGGAGCGCUUUGGAUGACCUUGAGGUGACUUUGUUCCUGUCUGCUCUGAUACAGGUGCCCCCGCCUCUGUGUUAGGAGUCAGAUGCCUCUGGCUUGGCUCUGGCCACAUCUGUGCGUGGAAAUGUCCCCUGAGCGGGAGCAGGGAAGGGAUCCGGGAUGAGCCUCCUCCAUCUGGACCCAGCUGAUUUUCUCCGGAAACAUCGCACUCUGCUUGCUGACACCAAGGCCCACCCUGCCCAGAAUAAAUCAUCCUGUGAUUGCGUUUGAUUGCCCUAAAGUCUGCAAAAACAAUGAUUUUGAUCAUUUGUUGAGUAAAUCAUAACAUUUA